rnacentral:tRNA from 1 species
GCAAGUGUAGCUCAGUGGUAGAACAUGUGCUUAGCAUGCACAAGGUGGCUGGGUUCAAUCCCCAGCACCUCCA